rnacentral:rRNA from 1 species
AACGAACGCUGGCGGCAUGCCUAACACAUGCAAGUCGAACGAGACCUUCGGGUCUAGUGGCGCACGGGUGCGUAACGCGUGGGAACCUGCCCGUAGGUUCGGAAUAACUCCCUGAAAGGGGUGCUAAUACCGGAUAAUGUCUUCGGACCAACGAUUUAUCGCCUUUGGAUGGGCCCGGGUUGGAUUAGCUGGUUGGUAGGGUAAAAGCCGACCAAGGCGACGAUCCAUAGCUGGUCGGAGAGGAUGCUCCGCCACACUGGGACUGAGACACGGCCCAGACUCCUACGGGAGGCAGCAGUGGGGAGUAUUGGACACUGGGCGAAAGCCUGAUCCAGCCAUGCCGCGUGAGUGAUGAAGGCCUUAGGAUUGUAAAGCUCUUUUAGCCGGGAUGAUAAUGACGGUACCGGGAGAAUAAGCUCCGGCUAACUCCGUG